rnacentral:lncRNA from 1 species
GGCUCACGCCUGACUAGAGCACUCUGCUUCACAGAGGAGAGUUCUGUGCGUUCUUCCUCCCUGGCUGCCUAGAUCACACGGCCCCGUUCUUUUCAUGUUUACUUAAUAACGGUCGUUAGAAAAUUUAAAGAAACAGCAGAAACCACGAGAAAAAUAAUGGAACCAGACGGCGGUAAGGACUAACAAGGCUGGCGGGGAGACUUAGCAAAUGGUGGCUUCUGAGAGUUUGCACCAGUCCUUCACCACAUUUUAUUGGAAGUGUGGAGAGUCAUGAUUCUCAUUCCUCCCCAGCCUUCCGGAAAAAUGCUCAGAAAUUUCUUUCCACAUUGACACCUGAUUACAGUCUAAAUAGUAACCUUAUUCUAAUUGUUAAUGUAACCUUCUCAUAAUUUCUACAAAAAUACUUUAGUUUUUCUAGCU